GGCGCAUGGAUGAAGAAAUGAGUUAAGGGUCGGGCGCCGGAGGGGGGGGUUAUCCCCGUUAUUUGCCGUGUGCCCGGAUCCGGCACUCGGCAAACUAUGGCUAUGCCGAGUGCCAGAUCGGCGGCACUCGGCAAACUACGCCUAUGCCGAGUGCCAGAUCGGCGGCACUCGGCAAACUACGCCUAUGCCGAGUGCCAGAUCGGCGGCACUCGGCAAACUACGCCUAUGCCGAGUGCCAGAUCGCGGCACUCGGCAAAGGGUUUUUAAAAUAUUUGAUUCAUUUCUUUGCCGAGUGCCGGACCAGGUGGCACUCGGCAACUAUUUAUUUUAACUGAGUUCCAAAAGCAAUGAUACUGAAAUUAACAUAAUGUAAAAACAUAUUAUUUCAUGCAUAACUUUUAAUUUCAAAUUAACAUAAUUUUAAUUUCAAGUUUCAAGAUUUUAUGCAAGAAAACCUAUUAUUUCAUGUCUUUCUAAAGUCGAAUUGAAUUUAUAUCAACAUUCGUUUUGAUGAGGUAUGUAUAAAAAAUUUAGUGACUACCAACUAAAUAAUUUGCCAAAAUAAAACAACAAAUUAUGGUUCAUGAUUUCAUGCAAAAAAACCCUAUUAUUUCAUGCGUUUAAAGAUCAACUUAAAACUAAAUAGAAUGAUUUUCAAUAUGUGCCAAAAAUAAUUUAAUAUAUAGAUAACAAAUUCAAAAAUUAACCAAAUUUUCACAAGACACAUGUUUUGUUGUUAUUUCUCUAUAUAAAAAGUUUCACAUUAAAAAUCAUAUGCGACUUUCAUUUCAACCACAAAUCCAACCGGAUACUACACAUCUCUCCGAAACUUCUUCGGAGGUUCUCCGGCUUGUGAGCGGCGUACAUUGUCACGUGUCCGAAACACUGUCAAUUUUUUUCCACUCUAUCCUCGCAUGAAACCAAGAGUUUUGCACAAUUCCCAUGAUUUUCAGACAUUGCAUGCUAUUUUUGGUUUUUUUCCGAACGUCCGUGCGCACGCUUGUGAUCAAGUUUCCUGAUAAAGAUGCUUCAACUUUUAAGUUCUUUCGCGCAUAAGACAUCAGUUUUGAUUCUGGUACAUAAAUAUCAAAUUUCCAUUCAUUGAUUUUGAAAUUUCGAACCACUUCUAAUUUAAUAUUAACUUCGAAUGAUUAUUCCCCGCAAACAAAAAAUUAACAGAAAAUAGUAAACCAAUCAAUAAAAGUUUUUUAUGUUAUUAGGGAUUAAAUUAUCAAAUUUAACUAGAGACCAAAAAAUUUUGAAGGCCAAAAAUUUUUUUUUACCCAAUUUUGCCGAGUACCUAAGCUCCAGCACUCGGCAAAAGAAAAUUUGCCGAGAGCCAGGCUCGAGGCACUCGGCAAAAUUACUCUUUUGCCGAGUGUCAAGUGAAGGCACUCGGCAAACUGCCCCCUUUGCCGAGUGCCAGGUGGUGGCACUCGACAAAGACUUGACGCCAUCAGCCCCACUAACGGGCGGCGCACGGCGGGCGCGCGUGCUGGGCACGUGUGCUGGCUUUGCCGAGUGCCGCCGAGCCAGCACUCGGCAAAGGGGACAGUUUGCCGAGUGCCAUUCGUUGCCGACGGCCGGCACUCGGUAAAGCUCGGGCAUGCCGUGUGGCAGAUGUUUGCCGAGUGCUCGUGGCCUGGCACUCAGCAAACCACAUCUUUGCCGAGUGCCCGUGUUCUGGCACUCGGCCAAAGCCGAAACACUCGGCAAAUUUGGGGUUUCCAGUAGUGCUCCCAUUAAUUUGCUUUCAGCCGGUUCCGGUUCCACAAUUUAGGUUCCUCCCACCUAGCUCCUCCCGUCUUUAGAUCAUCGAAUUUGAGAAAAUGGAGAGCUCACAUUAACUCUAAGCACCUUAAAAAAAUCUCUUGUUUCUCAUCGAAUGCGAUAGCAUACUGCAUAUUAGUACACAGUACUGCAUGAUAAAACGGAAAGGUGUUCGCAAAAAAAAAAAAAAACAGAAAGGUAAACAUGAUUUGAGAAGAACACAUGGGGAGCCGGUGAACAACUUGCGCGAGUAUGUAAACGGAAAGGUAAACAUGAUUUGCGAAGAACACAUGGAGCCGGUGAACAACUCGCGCGCCUAAUGGUGUAUUUAUAAGAGUUUGUAUGUUCUAUUAAGCAAGUACUACUGUAGAAGCAUGCCUGUUUGAAAUUUGAAUGCUGGUGAGCAGUCUUCUGCUUUCUUUUCAUGAUUGCUCUUAAUCCAGUUGUGUGGCUUGAGAUGGCCUGGGAUUUGUCAGUGCCAUUACCUUGUUUUGUGUUUGGUUGGAUAAGCUAGUUUACAGUUUCAUCUGAGGUUGUGAUUUAUGUUAUGCAUAGUUGGUGAGAGGCUAUUAGCACCCAACUUGCUGGAGCUUUUUUCUAGGUAACUCCCUCUACCUGUUAGUGUUGUGCGCUACUCUUCUUUACUGAAAGUCUGAGACUUUAGGGACUAUGCUUACAAACCCUCAUGCAGGGGCUCUUGAUUGGUUUUCUGAAUAUGAUCAAUUAGGGAAGUAUGUGCCGUGUUUUAGGAAGUUCAGUUGAUGCAGAUUCAAGCAUCAUAUGUUCCAUUCCUAGGCUCUUAGCUGAUUUCAUUCGAUCAGUAAUAUGCAGCAGUGACAGGACUGUGUUAAGUCUAUUAAGCAAGUAAUCUGACUGUAGAAGCAUGCCUGUUUGGAAUUUGAAUGCUGGUGAGCAUUCUUAUACAUAACUGCUCUUAAUUCAGUUGUGUGACUUGAGAUGGCCUGGGAUAUGGCAGCGUGGGUUAGGGGAGGAUAGUUUCUUUGUGUUGCGUUAAAAGUAUUCUUUGUAUCUACCCUACUAAUGUACCAACAUUUUCUUUCUUAGAUCCACACCAAAUAUUGUCCCCUACUGAGAAGUCGACACUCUAUCCACCCCAAAAAGUGUACCUAAGAAAACAACAUCAUUAAAAUAGACCAUCCAGAUUUACUUUUAUUCUUCUCUCUCCUCACUCACUCAUCAUCCAAGGGUCACGAUUGUGUGUGUCAUCUUCAUCCUUCCCUCCCGCACCCACGCCCCGAGCCCCCACGCUUGCUCGCGGCAUGCGGCCACGGUUCGAUUCCAGUUUCUGGCCGUAUUUUUUUUAUUUCGAUUGGAAACAUUAUUCUCCCCUCUCGACUCUCGAUCAGCGUGGGGAAACCGGCGGGGCGGCAGUCACGAAACCCUAGCCGCGACGACGAGCCCAUCCCACCGCAUCAGCCACACCACCGCGUGCUCCGCGUCCUUUCGCCUCCGAAGUGGCCGCUCGGUGGACGCGACCUCGGCCGUCACGGUGAAGAACGGCGCGGCGGGCGCGGUGGCCAUAGAUAGAUCCCGCCCCACCGCCGCCUCAGGUGCCCUUGCCCGCCGCAGUUCCCUUGAGAUUGGAUGCCAUGGAGACCGAUGACCAUGGAGGGAAGAUUCCACCGAGGAAGCCUGCGGCUUCAACUUUCUUUCGCCUGUAAUUUAUUUAUUGCUUCGCUUACUUACUGCUCUUCGUUCCUCCGCCGAGCGGGAUCCAAUGUCGACCACGUCGAGGCACGCAAAUGGGUCUGCGGCAAGAGCUCACUACCUUCACCGCGCCGGACGCCGGACGCCGGACGGCACCACCGCUGCAGCAGAGGAACCACCACCGAGGGAAGGGGACGAAGGAGCCAGAUCUGAAGAAGAGGAAGAAGCACGAGGAGCCUACUUGGACUGUCACAUUUUAUCAGAUUAUAUAUAUCUCUUUUCUUAGCCAGGGGAGCGAGAGAUUGAAGGAACCACUAAAUUCAAUAGGGCUAGAGCCAAGUGAACUAAAGAUGAUAGCUUCUGAAUGGGUAAUCACUUGUCUGCAAGACAAUAUAGAAUCCCUCGAGCAAAGCAAUGGCCCAAAAACAGGCCUCUCACUGUGUUUCAGAUUCUAUUGAUUUAACCAAAACGUGCCUCAUUGCCUCAUUGGGCUUGACAUCGACAACGAUGACCAUGGCAACAUUCACUUCUGUGGCAGCGGUGAGGUAGCUGCGCGCUAAGCUCUCGGUUCCCAUGGAUGGCGCCAAGGCGGUGGCAGUGGACGACGUCUUCGUCAAAACUACAUGGCUGCCCUCCCGCUUCUCCCUCGCCAUGGUUGCUUUGAAUGAUGAAUUGAUGAUACACUGCUACUCUGCUAUGUAAAUUCAAUGGGUGAAAAGAAUAUAUGGACUGAGAUGAACUUUUUAAUUUACAGCAUACAUUUGUAAGGUUCGUGUACUUGUCACUGCCCAGGUUAGAUGAUUCCAUAUAUUUGAAUAUUUAUCAUUGCGUUAAGGUUG